CAGUAGCCGCGGUAGUACGUAGGUCCCGAGCGUUGUCCGGAUUUAUUGGGCGUAAAGCGCGCGCAGGCGGAUCAGUUAGUCUGUCUUAAAAGUUCGGGGCUUAACCCCGUGAUGGGAUGGAAACUGCUGAUCUAGAGUAUCGGAGAGGAAAGUGGAAUUCCUAGUGUAGCGGUGGAAUGCGUAGAUAUUUGUAGGAAUGCCGAUGGGGAAGCCAGCUUACUGGACAGAUACUGACGCUGAAGCGCGAAAGCGUGGGUAGCAAACAGGAUUAGAUACCCCCGUAGUCCCUGUCUCUUAUACC
rnacentral:rRNA from 1 species